AGGGCUCAUUGUAUCAUGUUUAAUAUCAAUUAUAUAUUUUUCUCCCGUGCUUUCUCACAAGUGUCGCCUUAACAUAGCAUUAUAAUAAGUUCCUUCCAGUUCCAUGAGGACAGCAGUCCACUGAUUUUAUUUGGUCUGUAGGCUGUACUUGUCUUCAUAGCUAGCAUUUUCCAUGUAGAGUUUUCUUUGGACUUUGCUAGAGGAUUGUCUUAGUACCUAUAAAUGCUUGAAAGUCAACAACGAUUGUUAUGCAUUUGAAAUACUUUGCUAUGUCUUUUAUGGCCUUAUUGCUCACUUGAAACAGGUCUUUUCUUUGUGGUGGAUCGACUGGCUUGUACUUAUUUGGUUAUUCCUUCUACUAUUACUUUUUGCGGUCAGACAUGAUCGGUUUCAUGCAAACCUCAUUCUUCUUCGGAUAUAUGGCUUGUGUUAGCUAUGGCGUCUUUCUCAUGCUAGGCACUGUCGGCUUUCGUUCCUGUUUCCUAUUUGUCCGUCUCCUAUAUGGCAGUAUCAAAGCGGUUUCAUGCAGACCUCAUUCUUCUUCGGAUAUAUGGCUUGUGUUAGCUAUGGCGUCUUUCUCAUGCUAGGCACUGUCGGCUUUCGUUCCUGUUUGCUAUUUGUCCGUCUCCUAUAUGGCAGUAUCAAAUGCGAAUAGUUGGUUGCUUUCAAGAACAUCCUUUGCUUGUUUGGAGGAAGUAUUCAUUCCUUAUCUUUCAUAGCUAAUAGUUCAGUUGGAUUUCGAAGUCUAGAAUUAAAAUAUUCAAUGUCUUUGACAUUCUGGGAUGUUGGCAAAGUUUAAGAAGCUGGUCUGAUUUAAUUAGGGACACAAUGUACUUUAAAUACGAGAACAAUAAGAUUUUCUUAUUCAAAGUUUAGCUCAAUGAGUGAAAAAUAGUUAUUUUUACUCCUUGAACUAGGGCCUUUACUAGUUGCUAGCGUAUAGUGUAGUACCCUUGUGUUGCCAGCAUUCCCAAAUGGAGUUAAUGACUGAGUAUUCAGUUGGUUUAUAGUUAAUCUUUUUAUUACUUAAAUUCUUCGAUUCGGUAGUAGGUUUCAAAGAUUCAGUUAACCGAAGUUUUGUCAUAUUGUACACAGGUAAAUUCCAUUUGUGCUUUAUAUUACUG
rnacentral:lncRNA from 1 species